UACGUAGGUUGCGAGCGUUAUUCGGAUUUACUGGGCGUAAAGAGCGCCGAGGUGGCUUCUUAAGUUGGAUGUAAAAUCUCCUGGCUUAACUGGGAGGCGCCAUUCAAAACUGAGGAGCUUGAGGUCAGCAGGGGAAGGUGGAAUUCCCGGUGUAGUGGUGGAAUGCGUAGAGAUCGGGAGGAACACCAGUGGCGAAAGCGGCCUUCUGGGCUGCACCUGACACUCUAGUGCGAAAGCGUGGGGAGCAAACAGG
rnacentral:rRNA from 1 species